UACGGAGGAUGCAAGCGUUAUCCGGAAUCCUUGGGCGUAAAGGGUCCUGAGGUGGUUUGCUAAGUCUACUGUGAAAGAUCAGGGCUCAACCCUGAAAAUGCGGUGGAAACUGGCAGGCUAGAAUACGGUAGGGGCAGGGGGAAUUCCCGGUGUAGCGGUGAAAUGCGUAGAGAUCAGGAAGAACACCAGUGGCGAAGGCGCUCUGCUGGGCCGACACUGACACUGAGAGACGAAAGCUAGGGGAGCGAAUGGG
rnacentral:rRNA from 1 species